UACGUAGGGGGGCUAGCGUUGUCCGGAUUUUAUUGGGCGUAAAAGAGCGUGUAGGCGGCCAGGUAGGUCUGCUGUGAAAAACUUGAGGCUCAACCUCGAGACGUCGGCGGAAACCAUCUGGCUAGAGUCCGGAAGAGGAGAGUGGAAUUCCUGGUGUAGCGGUGAAAUGCGCAGAUAUCAGGAGGAACACCAAUGGCGAAGGCAGCUCGCUGGAACGGUACUGGACGCUGAGGCGCGAAAAGCGUGGGGAGCGAACAGG
rnacentral:rRNA from 1 species